rnacentral:rRNA from 1 species
AGAGUUUGAUCCUGGCUCAGGAUGAACGCUAGCUACAGGCUUAACACAUGCAAGUCGAGGGGCAGCAUGGUCUUAGCUUGCUAAGGCCGAUGGCGACCGGCGCACGGGUGAGUAACGCGUAUCCAACCUGCCUUACACUCUUGGACAGCCUUCUGAAAGGGAGAUUAAUACAAGAUGUUAUCAUGAGUAAGCAUUUUCGCAUGAUUAAAGGUUUACCGGUGUAAGAUGGGGAUGCGUUCCAUUAGAUAGUAGGCGGGGUAACGGCCCACCUAGUCUUCGAUGGAUAGGGGUUCUGAGAGGAAGGUCCCCCACAUUGGAACUGAGACACGGUCCAAACUCCUACGGGAGGCAGCAGUGAGGAAUAUUGGUCAAUGGACGAGAGUCUGAACCAGCCAAGUAGCGUGAAGGAUGAAGGUUCUAUGGAUUGUAAACUUCUUUUAUACGGGAAUAAACGAAUCCACGCGUGGAUUUUUGCAUGUACCGUAUGAAUAAGGAUCGGCUAACUCCGUGCCAGCAGCCGCGGUAAUACGGAGGAUCCGAGCGUUAUCCGGAUUUAUUGGGUUUAAAGGGAGCGUAGAUGGGUUGUUAAGUCAGUUGUGAAAGUUUGCGGCUCAACCGUAAAAUUGCAAUUGAUACUGGCAGUCUUGAGUACAGUUGAGGUAGGCGGAAUUCGUGGUGUAGCGGUGAAAUGCUUAGAUAUCACGAAGAACUCCGAUUGCGAAGGCAGCUUACUAACCUGUAACUGACAUUGAUGCUCGAAAGUGUGGGUAUCAAACAGGAUUAGAUACCCUGGUAGUCCACACGGUAAACGAUGAAUACUCGCUGUAGGCGAUAUACAGUCUGCGGCCAAGCGAAAGCAUUAAGUAUUCCACCUGGGGAGUACGCCGGCAACGGUGAAACUCAAAGGAAUUGACGGGGGCCCGCACAAGCGGAGGAACAUGUGGUUUAAUUCGAUGAUACGCGAGGAACCUUACCCGGGCUUAAAUUGCAACCGAAUAUGGCGGAAACGCUAUAGCUAGCAAUAGCGGUUGUGAAGGUGCUGCAUGGUUGUCGUCAGCUCGUGCCGUGAGGUGUCGGCUUAAGUGCCAUAACAAGCGCAACCCUUGCCGAUAGUUACUAACAGGUCAUGCUGAGGACUCUGUCGGGACUGCCAUCGUAAGAUGUGAGGAAGGUGGGGAUGACGUCAAAUCAGCACGGCCCUUACGUCCGGGGCUACACACGUGUUACAAUGGGGGGUACAGAGGGCUGCUACCACGCAAGUGGAUGCCGAUCCCAAAAACCUCUCUCAGUUCGGAUUGAAGUCUGCAACCCGACUUCAUGAAGCUGGAUUCGCUAGUAAUCGCGCAUCAGCCACGGCGCGGUGAAUACGUUCCCGGGCCUUGUACACACCGCCCGUCAAGCCAUGGGAGCCGGGGGUACCUGAAGUGCGUAACCGCAAGGAGCGCCCUAGGGUAAAACUGGUGACUGGGGCUAAGUCGUAACAAGGUAGCC